UACAGCCUCAAGAUCAUGGGUCACCAACCCUGUUCCUGGAGAGCCCCUGGCCUGCAAGUUUUCCACGUCUACCAACUCCAGUCACACCUGAUUUUUUU